GCCUGUUGUCUGUGUGUGGUGCUGAGGGGCCCCGGGGGCAGUGGGGACUCCCGGUGGGGGCUGCGGUGGGGCAGAAGGACCUGAACAUGGUGCUGAGGGGCCACCCUGCAGGAAGAUGAAUAAGGGCUGACUGGAGCUGGAGAGCGACCAGGGCCUCUUCACCCUGCUGGUGGAAGAUUUCGGUGUCAAAGGGGUACAAGUGGAGGAGAUCUAUGACCUUCAGAGCAAAUGCCAGGGCCCUGUAUAUGGAUUUAUCUUCCUGUUCAAAUGGAUCGAAGAGCACCAGUCACGGGGAAAGGUCUCUACCUUCAUGGAUGAUACAUCCAUGAUUGAUGACAAUAUUGUGAAUAACAUGUUCUUUGCCCACCAGCUGAUACCCAACUCUUGUGCCACUCAUGCCUUGCUGAGUGUGCUCCUGAACUGCAGCAACACGGACCUGGGACCUACCCUGAGUCACAUGAAGAACUUCACCAAAAGCUUCAGCCAUGAGAGCAAGGGAUAUGCUAUUGGCAAUGCCCCAGAGUUGGCCAAGGCACAUAAUAGCCAUGCCAGACCCAAGCUGCACCACCUCCCUGAAAAGCAGAAUGGCCUUAGUGCAAUGCGGACUAUGGAGGCGUUCCACUUCAUCAGCUAUGUGCCUAUCACAGGCCGGCUCUUGGAGCCAGAUGGGCUGAAGGUCUACCCCAUUGACCAUGGGCCUUGGGGAGAGGAUGAGGAAUGGACAGACAAGGCCUGGAGGGUUAUUAUGGAGCAUAUAGGCCUCGCCAAUGCAGGGGAGCCUUACCACAACAUCCGCUUCAGCCUGAUGGCAGUGGUGCCCGACCACAGGAUCAAGUAUGAGGCCAGGCUGCACGUGCUGAAAGUGAACCGUCAGACAGUACUAGAGGCCCUGCAGCAGCUGAUAAGAGUAACACAGCCAGAGCUGAUUCAGACCCACAAGUCUCAAGAGUCACAGCUGCCUGAGGCAUCCAAGCCAGUCAGCAACCAGUCCCCGCAGGUGAAGGAGGCACACAGGGCCCCUGCAGCCUCUGAGGGCACCCACACAGAUGAUGCAGAGAGGCGGCUGGUUCAUGCACACAAGCCCCAACCCACAGCCCUCCCAGGCAGCAACCUCAAUGGGGUUCCCCCCAACCCCACUCCCAUUGUCCAGUGGCUGCUGGCCUUUCUAGACAAUCACAACUAUGCCAAAUCCCCAAUGCAGGAGGAGGAAGACCUGGCGGUAGCCAAGUUCCAGUCCGCCCAGCCCAGCAGUACUCAGAUGACGAGGAUGACUAUGAGGGUGAUGGGGAGGAUGACAUGCAGAACACCAGCUCUGCCAUUAGGUAUAAGUGGAAGGGAACAGGGAAGCCAGGGGCAUUGAGCGGUUCUGCUGAUGGGCAGCUGUCAGUGUUACAGCCCAACACCAUCAACGUCUUGGCUGAGAAGUUCAAGGAGUCCCAGAAGGACCUCUCAAUUCCUCUGUCCAUCAAGACUAGCAGCGGGGCUCUGAGUCUGGCAGUGGCUGUGCCCACACACUCAGAGCCCUGCUCACCCCCAGCAUGGGCACCCCCAUGCUGCCUCCUGAGCACUAAGGGGCUGAUCUGCCCUGUGCCAGGCCUCAGGGCACAAUGCAGGGAAUAUGACCAGGUUCCUCCCAUUCUCAGGGCCUGGGCUCUCUGGCUGGGACUAUUCAGUAAUACUGGGAAAGGGGGAAGAACCCUGGUGAGGGCUAUGCUUCAAGCAUGA